rnacentral:sRNA from 1 species
AUCUCUAGAAGAUGACGGUGUUCUUUAAAACGCUUCGAAAUCAUUGGAAGAAAACUACAGCUGGGCUCUGCCUGCUGACCUGGGGAGGCCAUUGGCUCUAUGGAAAACACUGUGAUAACCUGCUAAGGAGAGCAGCCUGUCAAGAAGCUCAGGUGUUUGGCAAUCAACUCAUUCCUCCCAAUGCACAAGUGAAGAAGGCCACUGUUUUUCUCAAUCCUGCAGCUUGCAAAGGAAAAGCCAGGACUCUAUUUGAAAAAAAUGCUGCCCCGAUUUUACAUUUAUGCGGCAUGGAUGUGACUAUUGUUAAGACAGAUUAUGAGGGACAAGCCAAGAAACUCCUGGAACUGAUGGAAAACACAGAUGUAAUCAUUGUUGCAGGAGGAGAUGGGACACUGCAGGAGGUUGUUACUGGUGUUCUUCGACGAACAGAUGAGGCUACCUUCAGUAAGAUUCCCAUUGGAUUUAUCCCACUGGGAGAGACCAGUAGUUUGAGUCAUACCCUCUUUGCCGAAAGUGGAAACAAAGUCCAGUAGGUUGUCAAUGUGGGGAAUUAGCAUUUGUGGGUGAGCGAGCCUGGGAAUGAAAAAUUUAUAUGUAUGCUAUAACUUUCUUGAGUUUUGAUAACCUGAAACUUCAAAUAAUUAAGAGGAGGACCUAGAUCAGAGUUCAACCUUUCAGUUCAUUGGGAAGUUUCCCAACUUGGCUGUGGGUCUCUUAUAAUAAGUCUCCAGGUCAGGUAGGGAGGUGAAUACUUGAUGUCCUUUUGUCAGUUAUGAAGAUAAUAUCCCUGACCCAAACCGUUUUUGUGCUUGUACAUUGUAAGAUUAUUUAGUGAAGACAGAUUUGUGCUGAUCAUUUGUUUGCUUUAAGUAUAUGCAAUGACAAAUAACAAGUCCCUUGUGAAGACUGAACUAGUAGCCUGGCUUCAUUAUCUUGAUAUUAAAAAUAGCUAAAACAAGUAAAUAUAGCCACAUCCUUUUGGGAAUAC